rnacentral:rRNA from 1 species
UCCGGAGCUAACGCGUUAAGUAGACCGCCUGGGGAGUACGGCCGCAAGGUUAAAACUCAAAUGAAUUGACGGGGGCCCGCACAAGCGGUGGAGCAUGUGGUUUAAUUCGAUGCAACGCGAAGAACCUUACCUGGUCUUGACAUCCACAGAAGAAUCCAGAGAUGGAUUGGUGCCUUCGGGAACUGUGAGACAGGUGCUGCAUGGCUGUCGUCAGCUCGUGUUGUGAAAUGUUGGGUUAAGUCCCGCAACGAGCGCAAC